GCUGGGCAUUGUGGCGUGUGCUUGUGGUCCCAGCUACUUGGGAGGUGGAGGCAGGAGACUCGGUUGAGCCCAGGAGUUGGAGGUUCCUGUCAGCUGAGAUGCCACAGCACUCUACCCAGGGGGACAGCUUGAGGCUCCUGUCUCAAAAAAAAAAAAAAAAAAAAAGAGUUUACUUGAGCCAAAGUGAGGCGAAUGGCCCCAACACACUUCCCAGUUUCCUUGGGGAGUGCUCUGUUGGCCUUUGUUAUAAGCAAGCUUGUUUUUGUUUGUUUGUUUUUGAGACAGAGCUUCAAGCUGUCCCCCUGGGUAGAGUGCUGUGGCAUCACAGCUCAUAGCAACCUCCAACUCCUGGGCUCAAACGAGUCUCCUGCCUCCAC
rnacentral:SRP_RNA from 1 species